UCCGAGUUGACCCCGGCAGUCUCCUAUGAGUCCCCGGCAUUAUCCGCCGGCAACAUAGGACGAGGGUUGCGCUCGUUGCGGGACUUAACCCAACAUCUCACGACACGAGCUGACGACAGCCAUGCAGCACCUGUGUUACGGCUCCCUUUCGGGCACCCCCGCAUCUCUGCGGGGUUCCGUACAAGUCAAGGGUAGGUAAGGUUUUUCGCGUUGCAUCGAAUUAAUCCACAUAAUCCACCGCUUGUGCGGGUCCCCGUCAAUUCCUUUGAGUUUUAAUCUUGCGACCGUACUCCCCAGGCGGGAUGCUUAAUGCGUUAGCUGCGACACCGAGAGGCAGACCCUCCCGACAUCCAGUUCUCAUCGUUUAUGGCGUGGACUAC
rnacentral:misc_RNA from 1 species